UACAGAGGUCUCAAGCGUUGUUCGGAUUCAUUGGGCGUAAAGGGUGCGUAGGUGGCGGGGUAAGUCAGGUGUGAAAUUUCGGAGCUUAACUCCGAAACUGCAUUUGAUACUGCCUUGCUUGAGGACUGGAGAGGAGACUGGAAUUCACGGUGUAGCAGUGAAAUGCGUAGAGAUCGUGAGGAAGACCAGUGGCGAAGGCGGGGUCUCUGGACAGUUCCGUGACACUGAG
rnacentral:rRNA from 1 species